AACGAACGCUGGCGGCAUGCCUAACACAUGCAAGUCGAACGAGACCUUCGGGUCUAGUGGCGCACGGGUGCGUAACGCGUGGGAACCUGCCCUUAGGUUCGGAAUAACUCCCCGAAAGGGGUGCUAAUACCGGAUAAUGUCUUCGGACCAAAGAUUUAUCGCCUUUGGAUGGGCCCGCGUUGGAUUAGCUAGUUGGUAGGGUAAAAGCCUACCAAGGCGACGAUCCAUAGCUGGUCUGAGAGGAUGAUCAGCCACACUGGGACUGAGACACGGCCCAGACUCCUACGGGAGGCAGCAGUGGGGAAUAUUGGACAAUGGGCGAAAGCCUGAUCCAGCAAUGCCGCGUGAGUGAUGAAGGCCUUAGGGUUGUAAAGCUCUUUUACCCGGGAUGAUAAUGACAGUACCGGGAGAUUAAGCUCCAGCUAACUCCGUG
rnacentral:rRNA from 1 species